GUAUAGUCUGAGCAAACGCAGCAGAUUAACUGCUCAGAGAUGGAAGCAUUGGUGAGAGAAACAGUACUGAAAAACGAUGUGGAAGGACCCAUCCGAGAGAUCGGUGGAUUAGGAGCCAACAGCUACUUCAAAAACUCAGUCUACCAGAGAAGAGCUGCAAAUGUCACAAAGGAUAUAAUAGAUGAAGUAAUCACCAAGAAGCUAGAUGUGAAAUCCCUCUCAUCUGCUUCCAAUAGAACAAUUUGUCUUGCUGAUUUUGGAUGCGCAGUUGGUCCAAAUACAUUUACUUCUUUGCAAUCUCUAAUAGAUAUAGUUAAAAAGAAAUAUCUAUCCCAAUUCCCUAAUGAACCCAUGCCUGAAUUUCAAGUGUUCUUUAAUGAUCAACCCUCAAAUGAUUUCAAUACCCUCUUCAGGUCUCUCCCACCUGACAGGGAAUACUUUGCAGCCGGGGUGCCAGGUUCUUUUCAUGGCCGAGUAUUCCCUAAAUCUUCCCUCCAUGUUGUGCAAUCCAAUUAUGCACUCCAUUGGCUCUCUAAGAUACCAGAAAGUUUGGUAGACAAGAACUCUCCUGCGUGGAACAAAGGGAAGAUUCACUAUGCAGGCGCCUCUGAUGAGGUACUUAAAGCAUAUGGAGAAAGAUGGGCUGAAGACCUAAAUAAUUUCUUGAACGCAAGAGCUGAAGAGAUAGUGCCUGGAGGGAUGGUUAUAGUUAUCAUGCCAAGUAUCCCUGAUGGAAUGCCUUAUUCUGAACUUGCAAAUGGCCUAUUGUACAGUAGUUUCGAAUCAACCCUCCUUGAUAUGUCGAAAAGGGGAAUAAUAAGUGAAGACCAAGUGGAUGCCUUCAACUUGCCAAUAUAUGCUGCUCCUCCAGGAGAAUUUGCUGCUGUGGUGGAAAAGAAUGGGUAUUUCGACAUUGAAGCGAUAGGACUAACAAAUCCAGCUCCUUGGCUAACAGAUGACGUGCACGUUGAUAUGAAAGAAUAUGUGAGGCACAUUAGGGCUCCAAUGGAAGCAAUGUUCACCAAACACUUCCCAAAUGAAAUUGUGGAUGAAAUGUUCGAGCAGUUACUGGUAAAUAAACUUCCGAAGGUCUUCGACAAAAUGGAAAGAGCUUACAAGGACAAAAUUCAAUCUUACUACGUCCUUCAACGUAAAUGAUUGCAAUUAAAAAUUUAAUUUGUCUGGCUGGUGAAGCUUUCUUAAUGCUUUUUAGGCAUGGCAUAAUAUAUUAUAUAUAUGUGUGUGUGCAAUAAAAGAAAAUUUGUGGUCUUAAGUUGAGUGUAUUUAGUGUAAGCCUGAUGGCUUAGGUUAGUUGUGUGUUCUCAAGUUAAUAAAUUUUUCUUGAUUUUUUAAAAUGUUAAUAAAAUUUUAGCUUAUAAGA
rnacentral:misc_RNA from 1 species